AUCCAUGUAGUCAUAUGCUUGUCUCAAAGAUUGAAGCCAGGCAUGUCUAAGUAUAAGCACUUUAUACUGUGAAACUGCGAAUGGCUCAUUAAAUCAGUUAUCGUUUAUUUGAUAGUACCUUACUACAUGGAUACCUGUGGUAAUUCUAGAGCUAAUACAUGCUAAAAACCUCGACUUCGGAAGGGGUGUAUUUAUUAGAUAAAAAACCAACGCCCUUCGGGGCUCCUUGGUGAAUCAUAAUAACUAAGCGAAUCGCAUGGCCUUGCGCCGGCGAUGGUUCAUUCAAAUUUCUGCCCUAUCAACUUUCGAUGGUAGGAUAGUCGCCCCUACCAUGGUGGCAACGGGAACUUGGGGAAUGAGUAG
rnacentral:rRNA from 1 species